rnacentral:rRNA from 1 species
UACGGAGGGUGCGAGCGUUGUCCGGAUUUAUUGGGCGUAAAGCGCGUGUAGGCGGCCAGGUAGGUCUGGUGUGAAAACUCGAGGCUCAACCUCGAGAGGUCAUCGGAAACCAUCUGGCUAGAGUCCGGAAGAGGAGAGUGGAAUUCCCGGUGUAGCGGUGAAAUGCGCAGAUAUCGGGAAGAACACCUAUGGCGAAGGCAGCUCUCUGGGACGGUACUGACGCUGAGACGCGAAAGCGUGGGGAGCGAACAGG